GAUAAACGCUGGCGGCGUGCCUAAUGCAUGCAAGUCGAACGUCCCCUCGGGGACGUGGCAAACGGGUGAGUAACGCGUAGGUGACCUGCCGUCGAGUGGGGCAUAACCCGGGGAAACUCG
rnacentral:rRNA from 1 species